rnacentral:rRNA from 1 species
AGUUGAUCAUGGCUCAGAACGAACGCUGGCGGCGCGUCUUAAGCAUGCAAGUCGAACGGCAAGAGGUAGCAAUACCUCCUAGAGUGGCGGACUGGUGAGUAACACGUGGGUGACAUACCCUUCAGAUGGGGAUAGCUAUUAGAAAUAGUAGAUAAUACCGAAUACGAGCACAGGGGUUAGAGAUCUGUGAGGAAAGGAGCUAAGGCUCCGCUGGAGGAAUGGCCUGCGGCCCAUUAGCUAGUUGGUGAGGUAAGAGCCCACCAAGGCGAUGAUGGGUAUCCGGCCUUAGAGGGUGAACGGACACAUUGGGACUGAGAUACGGCCCAGACUCCUACGGGAGGCAGCAGCUAAGAAUAUUCCGCAAUGGACGAAAGUCUGACGGAGCGACGCCGCGUGGAUGAAGAAGGCCGGAAGGUUGUAAAAUCCUUUUGAAACUGAAGAAUAAGCGUUGUAGGGAAUGACAGCGUGGUGACAGUAGGUUUUGAAUAAGCAACGGCUAAUUACGUGCCAGCCGCAGC